GCGCAAAACCUGUGGCGCAGUAGGCAGCGCGUCAGUCUCAUAAUCUGAAGGUCGUGAGUUCGAGCCUCACCGGGAGCA
rnacentral:tRNA from 1 species